ACCUAAAGAAGAAAAUAAAAGAUCACAACUCCAAGGUCUGCUUUGGAUUUUCAAAUUCAGCCCGCACAACAGGUCACGCGUCUGUGGAAGAAGAAUGGCGUUGUCCCGUGCGGGCUCAUAAAGCAGGGAAAGGCCAGUGAACCCGGCUCACGUGGAGGCAGCGUCAGCGCAGCUAUCUGGAAAUGAACGUGCGAACGGACACAGGAGAAGCAAGUUCAAUCCCAGGAAGAAACAGUGGUUCCAUUUUGUUAACUGGCCAGAUUAACUGAAGAUGGCAGACCUUUUCCAAUUCUAGGGUUUCACAGUUACACAGCGCCCUUCCCUCCUGGACGGCAUGAGCACGGGAGGAGCCCCUCGAGCCCGCAGCGUGGCCUCCUGCGGACAGAGACAGGCCUCUACUGGGCUGGGUCCGCGCGCACGAGCCGGUCCAUCUCGUCGCCCUGUGGAAAAUGGCACUCUGAUCCCAGACCACGAUGCCACUUGGACUGAGGUGACGAUUUCACCUGCGGGCCCGGAAGCAGGGUUUUCUUCAGAUGUGCAGAUCCUUCAGGAUCGUCUUCUUUAUGGUCUCUCAUGUUAUUUUCAGGAACAAAGGCCUAAAGAUUGGCUGAACUGGGUCCACUUCAAUACCACUGAAAGGGCGCACAGAUUAUGCGAAUGAUACAAAGGAUACUCUGUUGUGGUUUCCCUGAGGCACUACUAAAACGCAGGGAGACCGGAUUUCAGAGACAAUACUACAGACCCAUCCACCGCAGAGCUAAUGUCCUCGCCCAGAAGGCAGGCGCACUGCCUCGGCCCCUUCUGACCUUCACACAGUUCUGUUUAUCCUGUGUAACUGCAACAUACGAAUAAUGUUCCCGACGGUGACCGAGGGUAGGAAAAAUGUACAAAGGAGACAAAAAUAGUUACAUUACGUGAUCUCUAAAGUCAUUCCCAACUCCAAUCAUCUAAGAAAAGUCAGAUUAAAAUCUUCACGUCCA